ensembl:lncRNA
AAGUGACAUGUCAACAGAACAUAGAUAAUGGAGUGACGUGUCAACAGAACAGAGAUAAUGGAGUGACAUGUCAACAGAACAGAGAUAAUGGAGUGACGUGUCAACAGAACAGAGAUAAUGGAGUGACGUGUCAACAGAACAUAGAUAAGGAAGUGACGUGUCAACAGAACAUAGAUAAUGAAGUGACGUGUCAACAGAACAGAGAUAAUGAAGUGAUGUGUCAAUAGAUCAGAGAUAAUAAUGAGAUGUGGCAACAGAACAGAGAUAAUGAAGUGACUUGUCAACAGAACAGAGAUAAUGAAGUGAUGUGUCAAUAGAUCAGAGAUAAUGAGAUGUGGCAACAGAACAGAGAUAAUGAAGUGUCGAAUCAAUAGAACAGAGAUAACGAAGUGAUGUCAACAGAACAGAUAAUGAAGUGACGUGUCAACAGAACAGAGAUAAUGAAGUGAUGUGGCAACAGAACCGAGAUAAUGAAGUGACGUGUCAACAGAACAUAGAUAAUGAAGUGACGUGUCAACAGAACAGAGAUAAUGAAGUGACGUGUCAACAGAACAGAGAUAAUGAAGUGACGUGUCAACAGAACAGAGAUAAUGAAGUGACGUGUGUGAACAGAACAGAGAUAAUGAAGUGACCUGUCAAUAGAACAGAGAUAAUGAAGACACAUGAAUAAGUGCUUGAAUAGCUUUUAAAUUGAAGGGAGUAUUCUAUAACGCUAUGGGCAGUACCUUUUGUAGUGAAUUCCCAUGAAUAAAAAAUCAAAAGUAAAACAAAGUAUUGCUGGAUAUCCAAGGAAAUACUGUAACAACCUCCUUUAUAGUGUGAAGUGUUUCCAUGUAACCUCAAAGCCCCUUUGAAAUGUAAUCCUGGGGUGGAGGGGGGUCAUGGAAACGUGUGUGAGGCUGACCUUUUGAGAAUGUUUUUCUUGUUAUUUUUAUUUAUUUUAUUAUUUUUUUUAAACUUUAUUUAACUAGACAAGUCAAUUAAGAACAAAUUCUUAUUUACAGUGACGGCCAAGGAACAGUGGGUUAACUGCCUUGUUCAGGGGGCAGAACGACAGAUUUGUACCUUGUCAGCUCGGGGGUUUGAACUUGCAAGCUUUCGGUUACUAGUCCAAUACUAACCACUAGCCUACCUGCUGGUUACUGACCCAACACUCUAACCACUAGGCUACCUGCUGGUUACUGAUCCAACACUCUAACCACUAGGCUACCUGCUGGUUACUGAUCCAACACUCUAACCACUAGGCUACCUGCUGGUUACUGAUCCAACACUCUAACCACUAGGCUACCUGCUGGUUACUGACCCAACACUAACCACUAGGCUACCUGCUGGUUACUGACCCAACACUCUAACCACUAGCCUACCUGCUGGUUACUGACCCAACACUCUAACCACUAGGCUACCUGCUGGUUACUAGUCCAACACUCUAACCACUAGGCUACCUGCUGGUUACUAGUCCAACACUCUAACCACUAGGCUACCUGCUGGUUACUAGUCCAACACUCUAACCACUAGGCUACCUGCUGGUUACUAGUCCAACACUCUAACCACUAGGCUACCUACUGGUUACUAGUCUAACACUCUAACCACUAGGCCAGAUUUUCUGAAGUGCGUAGAGUUGAUUAAAACAAGUAAAAACUAGAAUGGAAUGUGUAUUUAUCCUACUGUUUUUACCAAGACAUGUACGGGGGUUAAAAUGUCUACUCAAAUAACAGUUUUUAUUUAUACGACAAAAAAGAAAAGUGAUACCCAUAGGAGGAUUUUGUUCCUGGAGGUUAACUCCAACCCUGUUCCUGGAGAGAGACCCUCCUGUAGGUUUUAACUCCAACCCUGUUCCUGGAGAGACCCUCCUGUAGGUUUUAACUCCAACCCUGUUCUUGGAGAGAGACCCUCCUGUAGGUUUUAACUCCAACCCUGUUCCUGUAGGAGGGUCUCUCUCCAGGAACAGGGUUGGAGUUAAAACCUACAGGAGGGUAGAUCCUAUAAAAACCUACAGGAAUGUAGGAACAGGGUUACAGAGCCCUGAUCCAGAAUGUCAGGAUUCGGGUACGUUUCUGCUUGGUUAGAACUAAAGCCAGCACCCACACACUAACCCUGGAAUGAUAAGAGAGGGUAGCAUUAUAUUUCUAUGAGACCAAUUGGAGAGGGUAGCUAGAGACAGCUGGGCCAGUUCAAGCCCUCUACAGCUGGAGAGGGUAGCUAGAGACAGCUGGCCCAGUUCAAGGCCUCUACAGCUGGAGAGGGUAGCUAGAGGCAGCUGGCCCAGUUCAAGGCCUCUACAGCUGGGCCAGUUCAAGCCCUCUACAGCUGGGCCAGUUCAAGGCCUCUACAGCUGGCCCAGUUCAAGCCCUCUACAGCUGGAGAGGGUAGCUAGAGGCAGCUGGCCCAGUUCAAGGCCUCUACAGCUGGGCCAGUUCAAGCCCUCUACAGCUGGGCCAGUUCAAGGCCUCUACAGCUGGCCCAGUUCAAGCCCUCUACAGCUGGAGAGGGUAGCUAGAGGCAGCUGGCCCAGUUCAAGGCCUCUACAGCUGGAGAGGGUAGCUAGAGACAGCUGGCCCAGUUCAAGCCCUCUAUAGCUGGAGAGGGUAGCUAGAGACAGCUGGGCCAGUUCAAGCCCUCUACAGCUGGAGAGGGUAGCUAGAGGCAGCUGGCCCAGUUCAAGGCCUCUACAGCUGGAGAGGGUAGCUAGAGACAGCUGGCCCAGUUCAAGCCCUCUACAGCCGAAGAGGUUUAUACCCUUACACCAUGUUAUUACAAGUGAUCCCAUGACCACCCAGAACACCUACCUUACUGUUUAGUUAUUUUGUCUGAUUGUGGGCGUUACUGACUGGGCCUGGGCCCGUAUUCAUGAAGCUUCUCAGUGUAGGGCUCUGGGCUGAUCUAGGAUCAGGUCUUCAAUAUCCACAGCUCUGGGCUGAUCUAGGAUCAGGUCUUCAUUAUCCACAGCUCUAUGCUGAUCUAGGAUCAGGGUUUCAUUAUCCACAGCUCUGGGCUGAUCUAGGAUCAGGGUUUCAUUAUCCACAGCUCUAUGCUGAUCUAGGAUCAGGGUUUCAUUAUCCACAGCUCUAUGCUGAUCUAGGAUCAGGGUUUCAUUAUCCACAGCUCUAUGCUGAUCUAGGAUGUGGUGUUAAAUACUUAAGUAGAACUUUAAAGUUUUUUUUACUUAAGUUGUUUUUUGGGGUAUCUGUAC